CCUACGGGUGGCAGCAGUGGGGAAUAUUGGGCAAUGGGCGCAAGCCUGACCCAGCCACGCCGCGUGAAGGAAGAAGGCUUUCGGGUUGUAAACUUCUUUUCUGAGGGACGAAGAAAGUGACGGUACCUCAGGAAUAAGCCACGGCUAACUACGUGCCAGCAGCCGCGGUUAUAAGUAGGUGGCAAGCGUUAUCCGGAUUUAUUGGGUGUAAAGGGCGUGGAGGCGGGAAAGUAAGUCAGAUGUGAAAACUCAGGGCUCAACCCUUAGCCUGCAUUUGAAACUGUUUGUCUUGAGUACUGGGGAGGCAAUCGGAAUUCGGGGUGUAGCGGUGAAAUGCGUAGAUAUACGGAGGAACACCAGUGGCGAAGGCGGAUUGCUAGACAGUCACUGACGCUGAGGCGCGAAAGCGUGGGGAGCAAACAGGAUUAGAUACCCUUGUAGUC
rnacentral:rRNA from 1 species